GAUGAACGCUGGCGGCGUGCCUAAUACAUGCAAGUCGAGCGAACAGACGCGGAGCUUGCUCCUCUGACGUUAGCGGAGGACGGGUGAAUAACGCGUGUAUAACCUACCUAUCAGACUGGGAUAACUUCGGGAAACCGGAGCUAAUACCAGAUAAUAUCUUGCACCGCGUGGUUCAAUGGUGAAAGACGGCUUUUCUGGCACUUAUCGCUGGUUCCGCGCUGCAUUGGCUGGUUGGUACGGUCAUGGCUUUCCACGGCAACGAUGCGUAGCCGACGUGAGAGAGUGAUCGGCCACACUGGAACUGAGACACGGUCCAGACUCCUACGGGAGGCAGCAGUAGGGAAUCGUCCGCAAUGGGCGAGAGCAUGACGGAGCAACGCCGCGUGAGAGAUGAAGGUCUUCGGAUCGUAAAGCUCUGUUAUUAGGGAAGAACAGAUGUGUAAGUAACCAUGCACGUCUUGACGGUACCUAAUCAGAAAGCCACGGCUAACUACGUG
rnacentral:rRNA from 1 species